UCACAAUUGAAUCAGGCGAGUUGCAAGGUCAAUAUCUAAAGCACAUAGAUGUACCUAAAAAAAAAGGUAAAGGAAAAGAUCUUGCUGAAUUUACCUGUAAUGUUCUCAAGGAGUUUAAGAGUGAUAAAAGUAUCCAGGCAAUAAUUUUGGACAAUACAAGUGUUAAUACAGGUAAAGAUAAUGGUUUAGUUGCUUGUCUUGAAAGAAUAUUGAAAAGAAGAAUUCAUUUAAUUGGCUGUCUUCUACAUGUUAACGAGUUACCAUUGCGUCAUUUAAUUUCUAAACUUGAUGGUUCUUCUAAUAGCU